AAGGGUGCGUGGGCGGACUGCAGAGCCAGGUGGGACUGGUAAGGUUGGAUCUGUGUGCAGGCGUUGGAACUGGGGGACUUGAGUGCAGGAGAGGAGGGUGGAAUUCCUAGUGUAGCGGUGAAAUGCGUAGAUAGUAGGAGGAACACCAGUUGCGAAGGCGGCUCUCUGGACUGUAACUGACGCUGAGGCACGAACGCGUGGGGAGCAAACAGGAUUAGAUACCCUGGUAGUCCACGCUGUAAACGAUGAGUACUAGGUGUCGGGGGUUACCCCCUUCGGUGCCGCAGCUAACGCAUUAAGUACUCCGCCUGGGA
rnacentral:rRNA from 1 species